GAUGAACGCUAGCGAUGUGCCUAACACAUGCAAGUCGAGCGAAUGAAGUUCCUUCGGAUGAGGACUUUUGUGACUGAGCGGCGGACGGGUGAGUAACGCGUGGGUAACCUGCCUCAUACAGGGGGAUAACAGUUAGAAAUGGCUGCUAAUACCGCAUAAGACCACAGUACUGCAUGGUACAGUGGUAAAAACUCCGGUGGUAUGAGAUGGACCCGCGUCGGAUUAGGUAGUUGGUGAGGUAACGGCCCACCAAGCCGACGAUCAGUAGCCGACCUGAGAGGGUGACCGGCCACAUUGGGACUGAGACACGGCCCAGACUCCUACGGGAGGCAGCAGUGGGGAAUAUUGCACAAUGGGCGAAAGCCUGAUGCAGCGACGCCGCGUGAAGGAUGAAGUAUUUCGGUAUGUAAACUUCUAUCAGCAGGGAAGAAAAUGACGGUACCUGACUAAGAAGCCCCGGCUAACUACGUGCCAGCCGCCGCAGUAA
rnacentral:rRNA from 1 species